CGGUCAGUGCGGCGGGACGGCUCCCGGCCUCGGGCCCGGAAGAAGAUUCAGAACGCCUUAGUGCAGCAUUCACUUCACUCAUGAACUUGAUGAAUCAAGCCACAAAGGAAUGCGAGAAGUACUAUAGCUUCAUGGCAGCCUCUAGAUGCAAAGAGCAUGAAAUCAAACACAUCUGCAGAUACCACAGCAGGCAAGGAAGGGAAAGAGAGCUGGAGUCCUCUGAAGAGGAAGUAAGUAGGUGGUUUUGGUUUUUUUUAAAGGUUAUUCUGUCCCUCACCACAAGACAGUUGUUACCUAUCUACUGUCU
rnacentral:lncRNA from 1 species